ensembl:lncRNA
AUAGUUUAUUGCUAUAAUUUAUCUUAGAAUAAAUUAUAGUAAAACAAAGCUAUGAGGAUAUUGAACUUGAACCGUAUUUAAUGUAAUAUACAGCUAUAUUGUCUCCGGCUCCUAUUUGGGAUUCAGAACUUAUCACACUAAGACAUUCUGCAGAAUGCUUCAAUGCAAUAUGGGUGCAGAUCCAGUGCUAACGUAACUACUGCAGGAAAAUUCAAGUUUUCUCCCUGAAAAAUGCUAAAUUCCAAAAUCCUACACACUAAUCCAUUUUUACUUCAUCUUUCCCAUAAUCCAUUUUCAUAUCUGAAAGAUAUUCUUGGCUGAAGCCCUACACUGUCUGCAUCAUGUUAUUUUCUUUGCAAGUUUGCUUUUAGAAAACAUGAUAAAGAAAGCAAUAUAUCCCAAAGGCAUCCCAAGUAAACCAUUACAAAUUCUUAUUCUCUUUUGCAUUAAUUUGAAUAAAGUGAGGAAGAAAAGCCUGUUAAGUUGUCCUGAUUCUCAGAUAAAAUUUCCCUGCUUUCAUGUCCCCCUACUAUGUCACACAGAAAGACACUCCAGAUACUUGUCACUUCGCUCACCAAGAAGUUGCUACCAUCACCAACAAUACAUUCACACUAAUUUUUGAGGCUUGUAUUCUAAUCAUGAGAACUUUUUAAAAUUACAUAUUUUGAAAAAAUCUUUUCUCUGAACCAACCUCAGGACAAAAACAUUGCCCUAUGCUUCAAGGUUCCUUGCAUUAACUCGGUACAGUAGUAAUCAAAGCCGAAAUGCCUUCAAAUCAAGGGCUUGCUUCUUCCUUUCCGUAACUCAAAGUUCAACAGGAGAGUAGUGUGUGCUUUUUCUUCUACUGUCUUGCUGGGUUUUGCCUAUAGAAUUUUAAGAUUUGUUUCAUUCCUGGGCACCUGGCAGGCUGUGAUUUUCAUGUGAGAAAACAACUCCCAGGCUAUCAUUAAGAAGCCAGAAGCUUCUCCCAGUUCAGCUGUCCUCCAGGAGAGUACCUGAUUCUAUCUAAACUACAAAGGGCAAAAUAACAGAGUAAAUUCCCAAGUAAUGGAGGCAAAUAUAAAAAGGAAUAUUAUUUAUUACCAUCUUUAUUAACACUCACAUGUAACCUUUGUUUUUUACACAAAAGUCUACUUUAGAAGGAUGCCUCCUUGAUUUAUCAUGCCCAACAGGGCCUUAUGUUCCUGGAUCAUUUUCCCUUUCUCCACCCCAGCCCACCCCCACAUCCAAAUUAUUCUUACAUGUUCACAGAUACCACGAAAAUUUUGUAAACAAGAUUUGGAUUACUGGAACUUGAUUUCAUCAACAUUCCACUUCAAGAUGAAGGCAGGUGCAGGAGAGGGUAAGAAAUGGGGGAACUGGGAAGGGAGAAGGGGCAGGGGUCAGGGAGAAGGGGCAACUAGUUAGAACUUUCAAGUCUUGCCUUUUCUGAGGUGUGUGAGCUCUGUGUGUGUGUGUGUGUGUGUGUGUGUGUGUGUGUGUGUGUUCCUUGAAAUUCACCGACUCAAAAACAUUGACAGCAAGUGCCUGUGUGGUUGUUUAUAUUAUAUAUCUAUAAUAGAACAUGUGGGUUUCUCAGUUUGGGUCUGGGUUGUGUUUGUUGAAACACUCCACAGUGCUCUUUGUGGGUGGAGUCUACCGGGCACCAGAUCUCCUGGGAACGCCUCUCAGAGCCGGGGCUUCCGAAGCAGGGUCUUGCUGAGAUCUUUGACCUCCUCGGGGCUGUUCACCCGCUCAUAGCCCAGCACAGCCAUGGGCUGGUAGCAAAACUCCUCCACCUGUUUGAUCUGCUGGAAGGUGAGUGCGGUCCGCCAGGCGUUGGCGGCCUGUGUGGCAUUGCGUGCAGACACCACGAAAGGCUUAGAGGAGGAGCCCGAGCCACUGGUCAUGUUCAGGGCGAACUGCUCCAUUUCAGGGCUCACUAGCAGCCCCACAAAGUCAUAUACCUUCCGCAAUGUCUUAACGGGGUCUCCCACCAGAUCCUCGUACCGCACCACCAGGUAGUGGCCCUGCAGCCAGUCAGGGGGCUGCAGGGCUGUCUGCAGCGUCUUGGCCAUGCUGUUGCAUAUGACCUCCAUAGCGCCGAGCGCAUGGUAGUCUGCUGGGCCACCCAUGCCCUCCUUCUUGGCACUCAGCUUAUGCCCAGCGGCCUCCAGGAAGGGCAUACGAUGGGCCCGUGGGUCCCGGCUGCGUACCACCUGUAGGCUCUCUCGGAUGAGGCCAUGGCGCGAGCGGAUACGUGAGCUGGCAACUGCACGGGGAUCACGCACCAGGUGGAUGACCUUGAGGUCCAGGGCCGGGUCUCGAAGCAGCGGCGCCAACACUGCCACGUCAAAGACGCGCACACCCUUGAUAACCAGCGUGCGGUACUUGCGGCACUCCUCUUCGAAGCGUGCCAGGCGCUGAGGCGGGCACUUCUUGCACACCCUGUCGUCCACCAGCCCCACGACCUCCUUGCGGUAGGCGGGGCAGAGGGGCGAGGAGCACACCACCUUGUUGGUGGCGGCACCGAAAGAUGCCCAGCGUGGUGAGGUUGCGCCCCCCGCUGCCAGCGGGGCUGUACAGCUGGAAAACGGAGAGAUCGCAUCGGUAGAGAGCGCUCAGCAUGUCCCGCGCUGCUCCCUGCAGGGAGACAGCAUCCCCCGGGUACAGUUUUUGCCACACGUGCCACACUGGCUCGUAGAGAAAGAACACCUCCGGGUUCUGGUUGAAGAGCUCGCCGAAGAAGGACGAGCCCGAGCGCCACGUGGUGAACACAUAGACCAGUUGCCGCUUGUCCCCGCCGCCCCGGGUGCCAUUUCCCUGUGGGGCCGCGGCCCCUACCACCCCCGCCGCAGCUGCAGGCGCUGACCCUACGGCGGCUGCAGCAGGAGAGCGGUACGGGGUGCGGGGGUCUAAACGCGCGGGAGCGCGCGGGAGCGCGGCAGGAGGCAGCCCUGGGCGUCCCCAGCCGCCCCCAGAUGCCCCCGCCGCGGCACCCAGCGGCCCGUCGGGGUUGCACUGCUGCAGUGGCUCCUUGUGCCACUUGUAGUCCAGGAGGUUGAGCAUGGUGAGCACCAGCAGCAGUGCAUAGCCUGCGCACAGCACUAGCGCCUUCCUGCGGAACACCUUCAUUCCGAGCGGGGACGCGGGCCAGCGGCGUCCCGGGCGCCGGGGCCAGGGCGGGAGCAGGGCACGCGGUGAGGCGGCAGGCGCAGCCGGGAGCAGCCGGGGGAGCGCGCCCAGAGGCAGAGCUCGCGGCGGGCUGCGGCUCAUCACAGGCACAGCCGGGGCCGGCCACGCGGCGGAGGCGGUCCUGCAGCCCGAGAGGGGGAGACGCAGUGGGCCGGCUGCGGGAGCCGGCACUGGGGCCGCGGCUCCGAGGUGGGCGCGGCGGCAGGGGCGGCUGGUGUCCGACGCCCAGGGCUGGCUCUCCCAUGGCAGCGGCUCCGCCAGAGACCUGUGAGAGGAAGCGGAGUGAGUGGGUGCGCCCCGGUCUUCCUCCCAGCUACCUCCUCCCUAAGUAAUGCCCACCCUAGAGUCUCCCGGCUCCUUACUCACCUGGAGCCGCGGGUGCGCUCAAGCGCCUCGGGAUCACCGACCAGCGCACUGUCCGGCUGUCACUCGUCCCUUGAUUGCUGCUCUCUUGCGGGGGAUCGAGGAGUCUUCGACGGGGCCGAGAGAUUCCGCAGCCCAGGCCCUGGGCAGACUUUCCUGGCAGCGAGCGCCCGAAGCUGGGGAAGGGAAACUUUCACUGGGCCCUGAGCCCUGCAGCGCGAUCCGCCGAGCCCUCGCGUCCCGGCUUCAGCGACGUCUCCCUGCUCUCUCGGGACCGCAGUUCCUUUCUCGCUCCGGGAGGAGAAGCGGGCUACAGGCGAAGGCGGGGGCGGGGGCCUUUAUAGAGGACCCAGCUCCCAACAAAACGGAUCUUCCUCUGUCGCUCUUCGCCUCGGCACAGCGAAUGUUUCCAUCUCCCCGGUGGCGGCGGCGGCGGCUGCUCCUCCCAUCACCAGGAGAUGCCCCCGCGGGCAGCGCAGACGAGCCCGCUGCGCCUUCGCCUCGGACCGGCCCGGAAGGACCCCGCACACGCAGUCGAGACGAACGAGCCCAGUCCGCAGCGCUCCCUGCCGCCCCGCCCGGCACCAGCCGCUUCUGGCCCACAGGGUCUCCAGGCAGAGGAAGCCCCGGCCGCCGCCGCGCGAAAGCGGCGCCCGCAAGGAUGCUGCUCCCCGACUCCCCUACGCCGAGCGCCCGCAGCGCGCUCCGCCCGGCCUCUGCGCGCUCCUGCCAGCCGGCGCCGGGUUGGUGCGCUCCCCUGUCUCGUCGCGCGGCUCCGCCCCUCCGCCGCUCUGCCCUCCUCCGCCCCGGGUCCCACGCCCGCCCUCUUCGUGGCGCCCGAUCCCGCCGCCGCCUCUUUGGGAGCCGGGGCCGCGACCCUUUUCACCUCGGCGCCGCCUGGGCCGCCGUCCUCGAGUUGGAAGACUUAGGUCUCCGUGCGCACAGCACCCGGGCGCCGACGCGGGAUUCGCAGCGCUCGGGCGCCUCAGGCUGUAAAUGACUGAGAUUCUGCGUGACUGCGGAGUUGAUCCCACGUUCUGGAAAACGUGUUGAAGAUAAAGUUUGGACCGAAAUCCCCCGGCAGCGGUACUCUCCGCUCUUCCCUGGGGUCGAGAGCAGCCCCUCCAGGAACCGAAGACGCACUGCUCCCGAGAGCCUCGGAGGAGCGCCCUUCUCAGGCUGCUGACGCCCGGCUCGCCCUGUCAGCUGCUCUGUGGUUUCUGCCUCGAAAAGGAAGUAAUAAAUCUUUCUGGCCCAGAGGUCAAAGAAGACGCUUCAACUUUCCUGGAGUGCACCGCGGGGAGACUUCUGCGCGUUUACCGGACCUGUAUACCGGGCUGCUUCGUUUUUAUUACGCCGCCGGCAGAGAACUAACCUCCCGCUUCAGAGAGCUGCGUCCGCGGUGACUGAAGUCCUCCGGAAUUGGGGUGAUGGCGGAGGAGGCGACUCUGUUCUAAUUUACAGCAAAACACUUGUCCCGUUUCUUGGCUUUUAGAGAUGAGAUCAAAGACCCUAGUCUCAAAGGAAACACUGUCGUUGAAAAUCGAAAGUCAUUUUUUAGCUAGUUUAAGUACUUUUUGUCAAAGAGAGAAUCCUAAGCCACAUCCUCAACUUCAUCUGUAAAAUGGGGACAACUAUCUGCUAAAGAGAGACCGGAGAGAAGUUAGAGCGCGCAUGGGAAAGGUAAAACCCCAGCGCAGGGCUGCGGGUGAGAAGACAAAUUGCUGUGGGACCAGAAGCUCAGUGGCCGCGGGCACAGUGAGGACCUCGAAGAGGUGACCCUUUGGAGUCGUUACUAACAAAUUUGAAGUUGCUGCAAAAUUACUGUUGUUCUACUUGAGGCAGCCUCUCUCCGCCAGGAGACCUACCUAAAUUUAAGAUGUUGCCGUUAGAGCCAUUAUUCUACAUGAAGUUACAGAAUCUUCCAAGUACGAGAACUCUUAGCGAGCUAAGUUGUUUUCCGUGAGUUUUCACCACGUUUUUCUGUGGGUUUAGUUUCGGGGUUUAAAAAAAAAAAACUUAAUUUGGUCCCAUUUUCCAGGGGGGAAAAAUCUUAAUGUCGCUAAUAGAAACAACUUCAGCUAAUCCCCCCACCCCACCUCGUGGUUCUGAUAAGGUAUAAUAGGAGGAGGCGCUAACCGGUAAGAGGGGAGUAAAGCUGCACCUUUAUAAGUAGCUUUCCCAGGGAGCUGGCAUCCCCCCGGAAGUUGGUCAGGACAGACGGAAGUGUUUAUCCCUGUUUACAGAUGGAGCUGGUAGACUUUUAAUGAGCGGCUUCCCACUUUUCCUCUCUGGCCCCUGCUUUCAUUCCAGCGCUCCUUCGAAUAUCCCAGUCCCUUUUCUCUUGUGCUGUUUCAGAAAGACAACGGAACAAGCAAAAACUAAAGUUCUGUUGUCACAUGAAAAGACAGGGAAAAGAGAGGGAGUUGAGAAGAAAAGAAAAUUCGAUCUUAAUAUUUCAGCACAAUCCCAAGAAAAAUAAUUUCUAAUAGUUUUGGUUUUAUAUCUGGCUUGAUGAUUACCCAGAAAGCAGUGAAUUGCAGCUAUUGAAGGUAAGGAGCCUUUUUAAAACAAUUGUUUACAUAGAAACAAUUUUGUUGCAAUUUUGUAACAUUUUGCUGGAGUUGGCAACGUAGUAAAUCCAUUCGCCAGACGCCCCCACAGUGAGUACUCAGCUGUGUGCUCAGCUGGCAUAAAUUUACAGGUUCUGCGGUCUCCACCCUCUCCUUGCUUGCAAAUAUUUUACCAUUUGGCACGGUGUCAUGAUUAAUUCUGAACUUUGUGACAGCUAAUGACAGAGAAAUUUGAUAAUGCCUUCCUUCCUGAAUCCUGAAAUUCCCUUCAUUUUAAUGGACUUGCCCUGUUGGCAUAGUAAUGACCCAGACGUAGGAUAAGUCAUGUCAUAAUUUCAUUUGCGGAAGAGCCAGUCAUGCCACAGGACUGUCCUUAAUUUCAGCUCACUUUGUAGUUUACUGCAAUUCAGUCUUCUCUAAGAGGUAGCUUCAUCUCUUUCUCUGCUGUUUGUUUUAUGGAGAGGAAAGUGCUGUUGGAAAUUUGUUGUGGCUUUUACUUUUUUUUUUUUUUUCAUAGUACUAAGGCUUGAACCAGGGCCUUCACACUGAGCUACAUCCCCAGCCCUGUGUAAUUUUUUAUUUUGAGACAGGGUCUUGCUAAAUUGCCCAGGUUGAGCUCAAACUUGUGAUCCUUCUGCCUCACCCUGCCAGAGUGCAGGGGUUACAAGUGUGCACCACCAGGCCUGACACUUUUACAUUGUAUGUUUGGUUUUGGGGUUGGUUUUGUUUGUUUUUGUUUUUGGUACUGGGGAUCGAACUCGGGACCUCGCACUUGCAAGGCAGGCAGCAGAACCACUGAGCUAAAUCCCCAGCCCAAUUUUACAUUGUAAUCUUGAACAAAUAGAGAACCUAACAUUCUGAAGUAGGGUAGGCCCACUCACCCUGGGGAAAUUGCAGAGAGAUCUUUGGGACCUUUCUGCCAGAGUCUGAAUGAGGGAAAGAUGUAAGUUUACCUGGACAGUUUCCAUCCAGGCUUGUCUGUGCCACUGGGGGCUGCAAGAUUCACCUUUGGGAAAUGCCUGUCCCUGAGCACCAAGAUAAAUUUCAUUCUUUCCUUCUUAUUUUCAACAAAUAAGAAUUUUCAAUGAAAUUUAAAUGCACAGAAUAAAAUUGAGACAUGCCAUCCUCUUUAGUCCAAGGGUGACCCUUUUUAUUUUGUUUUAAUAUAAUAAACGUAUUAACUAAUCACUCAGAACCUCCAGAGGUAACCAACUCUACUUUACUUUAUAAAUUCAGAUGAAAUGGUCGUAUUCCAAGGGAAAUAAUUGUUUUAAAUAACUUGCCUUAAAGAUCUCAAAAAGAAAUAGACUGAAACAGUUUUGGAAUUACUGAGAAACUGAAGCAUCCACUUAAAAUAUUCCCAUAAGAAAAACAACAGGCUCUGGCAGAUAAAUUUAAAGGAUUCAACUAAACUUUCAAUCUUUAGAUAGUUUCUAUCUUCUAUGUUAUACAACUCUUCCACAGAAUAGAAAAAAAAAGAUACUUUCCCAACUCAUCCAAAGUGGAUAUGAACUCAAAGGGGAUUUCAGAGAAGGAAAUAGGUCCUAUUUACUGAUUAAUAUAUACAUAAAACUCUUAAAAUAUCAUCAAAACUAAUCAAGUGGGGAGGGACAGACAAUGCACUACACCCAAGUCUCAUUCAUCCCAGCGACAUAAAGAUGAAUUAAGUAUUUACUAAGCACAUACAUGAUGCCAGGUGCCAUUCUCCCAAUGUGGGAUACAGGUGUUAAGCAAGGCUGGUCUCCCAUUCACAUGGAAUUUGCACUCUUGAGGGAGAAACAUUGCACACACAUGCAUUUUUUAAAGAUAGGAUUACUUUAGACACUGAUGAGUGCUAUGGAGGAAAUACAAUAGAGCGAUGUGGCAGAGUGACUGAAAGCAGCUACAGUAACUUUCUUUAAUUGAGAAAAUGAUCUGUGCAAAGGGAAGCUGACCCUUGCAAAGAAUGAGGGAGGAUCCAGGUGACAACCAAAGAGAAUUUCAUGUAGAUGACACAGCAAGUGCAGAAGCCCUGAGCAGGAAUAAGGUUGACGUGUUUAAAGAACAGCAAGAAGUCCAGAGGGCUGGUGCCCAGCAAGUGAGAUCAUGGUAUCCCACUGACUGAGGUGUGUCUGGUUGCAAUACCUAUGGGAGCUUCCUUAAUGUUAGACUUUAAAAUGCAGUUUCUUAGAAAACACAAAAGAAGGAUGUUAUGGGAGAAAUGUACACAGAUUCAUUUCUCCAAGAACAUGCAUAGCUAAUUUCCAAAUGUGUCACUCUGGGGCUGUGCUUGUUUGAGAACCAUCCUCUCCUCCCCAUACCCCACCAAAAGUUGCUCAGCCUAUCUACAUCUUCACCUUUUUGACCUAGCCCAGCUGUCUGCAUCCUGCAUCUCACUGAAGUCUGGAGAGCUGGCAGCCUAGGAGUUGCUUUCUGCAGCUUUCCUUUCCUUCUAGGUGCUAGAGGACAAGAACCACCUAACUGGAGCAGUACAUGUUCCGCACAGCUAGAGCUGCCACCUCCUCUAGUCUAUCAGCCAUUGCCCUGUGGCCUGAAGUGGGCAUCUUGCUUGGUUCUGCCUUCGCCCACAUCCACCAUCCUUUCCUUUGAAAUUUCCAAAGACAGAUGUUGAAGAAAGGUGCUUCAGAAGGAAAAUAAUAUUUGUUAAUAAAUGAUCAACUCAAGAAAGUAAUCACAAGAUUUGAACAAACACUACCGGAAACCAGAUCUGUUUCUUAUAUUUAGGAAACUUCCCCAAAAGAAGAGCAGAGACCACACCUGACCAGAGAAGCCAAAAGGGACUGAGACUCAUAUCCCCAGACUCCUCUGCAAGUAGGGGCCAGCCUAAGGUUACUCUGCAAGUAACCUCAGCCUGGCAGCUCAGCUGUGCAGAGACAGGAACAGAUGAGAUUCAGUCUGUUGGUGGCCGCUGGGGGUCUGGGCUGCUAGUGCCUGGGAUUCUCCAUUCUCUCAGCCUGGCUUGCUUCCCAUUCCUGGGGUUUCCAGAAGAUGCCCAGUGACUCUUUUUCUCCUCAGUCAGCACAAACCAGUGAUCAGUGUAUGCCAUAUAAUAUUAAACCCUGUUUCAUACAGCAGGGACACUGUGCUUGCAUAAGAUGCCAGGACUUCAAAUGUGUACUUCUGUUUCCCACCUGAAAUAUGGUCUUACUAACACUAGCUCUAUUUCACUGAAUUCUUUCAAAUAAACCACUUGUUUAAAAAAUCUCUUAGAAUUGUUAAGUAAUUGGACAAAACAAAUCUGUGUAUAUGUUUUUGUUUUGUUUCUGUUUUUUUGAGACAGGGCCUCACUAUGUAAUUCAAGCUGGCUUCAAACUCUCUACAUAGCUCAGGCUGGCCUCAUAGCAAUGCUCCUGCCGCAGCCUCCUAACUGCCAGAAUUAAGGUGUGUGCCAUCACACCCACUGUAUGUGUUUUUUGAACCAGCUUGUUUUACUAAAAGAAUGCAAGUAUCAGAGCCAGAGGAGAAAAAAGACUGUGCAGAAAUGCACUUCCACUCCACAUUCUAGUUCUUUCGGGUGGUAAAUGGGAAUCCAGCCCACAUAAAAUCCACCUGCUUGGAUUUUAAGAUUUAUGGAGCCACCUGGGAGAAGUGAAGAAUGUUUUCACAGACCAACAUCCCAGGGAAAGCUCUGAAAAGCAUUCCACUUAAUUCUUCCACCUGUGUAUCACAACUUCUAGGUGUUUCCUCCCCUGUAUCUUUUUUGUGCUACUGAGACAAACACAGGAUCCAGCUCUUUUAAGAAUUCAUCUUACAAGUUGUUUUCUUCUCAUCAGCUGCAACUUCCAGUCAUAGAAUCUGAGGCAGAGUCUGGGGACAUGGUUAAUCAUGUCACAGAGAAUGAUCCCAGAUGGAGAAAAAGCUGCAAACACAAGAAACCUGAAUGUCAGAGGCCUGUGCUCAGGAGAAAAGGUCACUCAAAGGAGGACAAUAAAAAGAAAUGAGGUAGUGUAACAAGAGUAUUCCUUCAUGAAGACUUUCUUUUUACUCUUACAAUGUCAAGGUACUCGUAAGGGCUAGAGACCAUCACAUACUUACAUUUGCAAAUCCAUCCACCAGUGUCACGCCCCUCCUCACUGCAAAUAUCUUGAAGAUGAGCACGAAGUUGCCUCUGUGUGGGGACACAGGCAAGAAAAGGAGUCCUAGGGACUCCAGGGCAUGAGACCAGAACAAGCUGCUCAGACUACGUUCACGUUUUCCUGCUUGCUUGUGUCAAUUUUAUUCCACCAAGCCUUUGUCAUCUGCUGCCACCCACCUGCCCUUGUCAUGUCACCAUCAAGCAUGGAUGUGGCUGUGGCCAGCUCACCUAAGGACAACCCUGAGGUUCCUAUCAGGGAAGAUGUUAUCAAAAAAUAUUAAAAUAAGGCAGAUGUGAAGGAAACCCAUAGACUCCCUGCUGUCUCCAAGAACCGGCACUUCUUCCAGGGACCAGAGCAGAGAAAAAAUGCCUGUGCUCUAGCUCUGCCAGGCAUGUUUGUCCAACUUACUACCUCCUGGAGAGAGUGCCUACUAGUAGUACUAAAGAGCUACUCAAGUACCUGUAGAAUUACGAGCUCAUAACAUAGCUAUGGAAUUACAGGGCAAUCCAUCUCCCAUCACUCCCCAUUGCACAGAAGAUUCCAGUGAUUCCCCCAGGCCAGCCUCAGGCAUUCAGCAGGGUCAGGAUGUCCCUUGGCCUGAGAUAGGAGAGGCUAAGCACCUGCCAUUUGCCCUCAGCCUGAAUGGAUUAACCCACUCAUGAGUAUAGCAGCCCCAUGAUCCAAUCACCUUCCAAAAGCCCAGUCUCUGAAUACAUGAGACUUUAAGGGGGACAUUUAAAUCUAAACCACACCAAGGCAUGCAGAUCUGGAUGCAUCCACCAUGCCGAGCAUGUCUCUGUAACUGUCUUUCAUUGAGCACCUCCACAACCCAUUCCACCAAGCCACAGCCCAAAGAGCUAACUCCUCAGAGAGUUGCAAAAUUUUGUGUUAGCAUUUUUCAGUAUUAGUCCUAGAUGAGACACAACUUUAUAACCAUCUCAAGCUGCCCUUUUCAAUUCUAAUAUUCUCAUAUUCUGUGCAUCCCAAGAGGCCCCUUUCCUGACAAAGAUAUUUACCUUAGAUAUGUGUAAGUUCCGGAGUCAAAAAUAUGAUCAUAAAGCCAUUAGCUAA